rnacentral:lncRNA from 1 species
CAAAUACAUAUUAUUAUUUACUUCAAAUUAUCUUAAUAUCAAGGUCAGUGCAGUUCACGUGAGGCAUUAUACUUUUUGAGUGACAUUGAAAAGCAAAACCAAUGAUAAAAUUUACAUUUCUAUAUUUGUUAUUCCUAUAUUUACAGGCAUGAGAAGUUACCAUGAGCUUUUGCAGUCUGUCCCAGGGUGGGUUUUCUGGAGGUCGACUCCAAGACAGAGUUUCAGGAGUCUCAUACUUUCAGUUGGUUGUUGCUAGUGUGUUGAUUUCACAUCUUCCAACACUGCCGAACUUAUUAGCUCUAAUAAGGAGGAGAAGGACGCAUGGCCUGAGUAAGAAGGGACAGCAAGC